CACAGAAAUAGCAUAAAGAAAUUAAAUGAAAUUCAGUGGCCAGAAACGCGAAAUUCACAUACACACAAACCUACUUCAUGAAAGAGAAAUUAUGCGUCAGCUUUGAAAUAAUUUAUUUAGAAUAUUGCGGUUGGCAUUUAUCAGUUGGAUAUUUUUCCAACUCAACAAUAACAACAGCGUGCACGCUUCGAAAUAGCUGAAGCGCAACCAUUGUCAACCAAAGUACAGUGAGUUCGUUAGAGAAGCGAAAAAUAAGUGUUAAC